rnacentral:rRNA from 1 species
UACGAAGGGGGCUAGCGUUGCUCGGAAUUACUGGGCGUAAAGCGCACGUAGGCGGCUUCUUAAGUCGGAGGUGAAAUCCUGGAGCUCAACUCCAGAACUGCCUUCGAUACUGGGAAGCUCGAGUCCGGGAGAGGUGAGUGGAACUGCGAGUGUAGAGGUGAAAUUCGUAGAGAUCCGGAGGAACACCAAAGGCGAAGGCAGUGUCCUGGGGAGUACCUGACGCUCAGGUGCGAAAGCCAGGGGAGCGAACAGG